UUUUUUAUCUUGCAUAUAAAUAUUAAAAGAAAUUCAUGAACAUUUGUAUUCUUUGCUCUACAUUUAAAUGCUUAUGUUUCUUUUACUCUUUCCUUUUUAGUUUACCCAAACCUAGAUGGUCAGUAAAGCAGUGUAGGCAUAGACACAAAUGACUUUUUUUGUUUACUAGGAAAUGUUUCCUAUAAAAGAGCAGACAAGUGAGUAUGACACUGAAGAAAUCACUCCCUUAUAUGCCAUAGGAAAGGAUGAAUUUAAAAGUAAAUGGGAAAGAAAACUGACGCAUUUAAAGUUUUGGCAAAAAUACAGAAAUGUCAGAAUUUCUUAGACUCAGAGAAUAAAAUAGGACAGCUGACUAAAUGAUGACACCAAGUAAAAUGUGCGAAUGACGCACUGAUUCUGAAAUUGGUUGGAAUAAAAAUCUGUAGCCACAGAGGUGCUUCAGGACUGAGCUUAGAAACAACUGAACUAGAAAAAUCAGUUUAGUCAAUUAAAAUGCAAGGGGGAAAGAUGGAUUUCUAGUCUAAUUUGAAUUUCCCACUAAUUAAAUGAUUGCACUGACCUACAGAGAGAAAUACCAGACGGCAGAAAUUAUAAAGCUAUUACAGUCUUCACCAUAAGAUGUACAGAGUGAUGCAAGAUCUCAGUUCUGUUCUUUGGCUUGUUGGUACAAGCCAAACGAUGGUAGUCUGGGAUGUCAGAAUUACCGACUUUAGACUACGUUUAUCAUAACAAAUUUGCUCAGUGUCACACUGGAUUUUAAUAUGUAGAUUACAGUCAAGUGUCAUAACCAGGGAAGUCUUGGAACGGUUUUAAAUAUUGAACAGUAAGCAUUUAACAUAUACUAUUAUUCCUCAACUGGUUCUACGUAAUUGCAUUACGUAACAUGUGAACUAAAAUCUUAGAAUUCUGUCAUAUUAAAUAUUGUUACAUCACCAUAAAUGUUACCUGUAUUCUAUUUUCCAGAAAUACAGUUUGAUCAAUAUCAGAUGAUCAAAGCAAGUUUUGAUUGCCAUACUUCAUAGAUUAUCUUAAGACACAGGUGUCAAAUUGAAAUGUUGAAUAAACAGCACCCAGUCAUGUGACAGUUGCACAGUUCUGGAUUGUGCACAUUUUCGAUGGUUUGACCUUUGUGUCAGUCCUAAAUGUAGAUGUGUUUGGGUUCUUCGUUUCACAGUGCCUACUAGAAAUGAUGAGUUAAGACAUUGCUCUAUAGCUGUAUGCACUCAAGCACUGCAUUCACUAUAAAGGAGCUGAAGAACUAUGUUCAUAGUAUUACUAGACCACAAGCCAAGCACUGAAGUAAAAAGCCCCUUGUAAUUCUUUGUUGCACGUUUGUCUGAAGAAGGGGCCUGAGUUGCCUCGAAAACUUGCAUAUUGUAAUCUCUUUAGUUAGCCAAUAAAAGGUGUCAUUUUGCUUGACUUUUCACUUUGUUGCACAUUGUUACAGAUUUUCUAGCUAGCAAUGGGGUUUCCUGGGCAUAAUUUUCACUGCAGGGAAUGACCCAGCAGAGGAUAUCUUACGCUGGAGAAAUGUUCUUCAUACUCGUGUGGUUAGACUAGGGCCACCAGGAGUUCCAUGGGCAUGUCUAAUUCUGGCACACUAGUGAUAAACAGAGAGAGAUUCAACACUGAAAGUUUUACCAACCCAGUAGGUUGGUAGAGGAGGAUCGCCAUUUACUACAAGUGGAAUCUUGUUGCCAAUUAGAAAGAAAACGUAACCCAGAAAUAUUUAAACCUUUGUAGGCCUUUUACUGGGUGCACAGGUGAAGAGACACCUGCUGCCCACAGAGAAGGCUUGCUAGAACAUUCUUGAACAGAUGAUAGUACUGCCUUGCAACUUUUACAAGUUGUUUCAAGUAACACUGACCUCCGAGACAGUUAAGUUACAUCAAAAGUAAAUUCUACAUUAGCUGAAAGGGCCUCUCUGCCAGCAGCCUAAUUAGGGCUAGUCUCAGAAGCUCAGACGGACAGAGGCUCAGUGACAAAGAAAUGGGAGAUGAAAGGAAAAGUAAAUGUUGUGUGAGGUGUUUGUGAGCUGGGAAAGCCACUCCACCCAAUAGCCAUGGUCAAAGACCUGAAGUAGUCCGACCUAGUGGGAUUUAGGUAUUUGUUUAGAGUUUUGUUACUUAUGUUUGUACUCCUUCUUUGUGGUGUCUUUGAUACUUGUAAUUCUUUUAAGCAUUUUGAAGCAAUCUCCGGCAGUACUCUUGUUAUGUAUCAUAACAAUACAAACAGGCAGGCAGUUCAACCACUGGUAUAGUCGUUUUGUGUUUUAAGACUUUUCUCUUUUUUUGUACGUGUAUUAACCUAAUACAUGCAUGGAACAAAGCUGUAGACAGAUGCUGCUGAUUUGUGUUUCAAGAGCUGCUUUUGUUUACAUUUGAUUUUGAUAACACAUACAAUGAAGAUGUUUUACAAUUAGGAUAUGCAGAACUGUGUUUAGUCUUCAAUCAUCUCUGCUUUAACGAUAUGAAAGGCUGAUGGAUUAGGGAACAGUUGCCUCUUGAUAGAUUGCUCUUUAUCUGUAGUCACACUCAUGUGCCACAUAAUAGGGCAUUUCAGUAAUGAUGGUUUAAUUGUUUUUACGUGCUUCUAGAAAUACCUGAGUGCUACAAGGUGGGCUAACUGUCAAUCAUGGCUGUAUUUUACGUGGAUAAAAAUGGAAUUUGUAAUUCACAUCACAUUUUAAAGUUGACUUCUAUAUUGCACACCAAAAUUGUGCUUAUAAUUAAAGCUUUCAUGAAACACAGCUGGAAAAGAUAGUAACACCACUUCACAAUCCAGUCGUAGUAAUUAUAAUUCAUGUUUGCUAUUAAAGUUAAUGACACUAGUGUUGUAGCCCCAGGCGUGCAAAGAGCAUAAAUCCUGUUUUCUGUAGGAAAUGGAGCUUUGUUCUCUUAACAUUAAUCUACCAAUUAAGGAACAACGAUUACUGUUUAAACUAAAAAUAGUUAUAAUUGCUUAAUAUAUAGCCCAAAUAAAGCUGUUCUAUGAAGAUAAAAAUGUUGAAUCUACUCAUUAAGAAAUAAUACAUACUUGGCAAAACUGAUAACUGUCCAGCUGUGCUGCCUGCAUUUAACAGCAGUUAAAUGGUGUGAUCUCUAUUUGGCCGUCCGACUCAAACUCUGACAUUUGCAAGCAAGCUUAGAAGAGCAUCCCUCACAGCACAAAGCACCAUUCUCAAGAGGUCCAGUUGUCCGGUCCAGGUUGAAAGGCCUGACUUUACCUGGAUUUGGCACAGGGAACGAGUUAACUAGUGCCUCAAGGUAUACGUAAAUUCACUUGUUAUGUCCUGCUCACUUGAGUACUGCAUAUUAUAUGUACAGUAUGUAUAUGUAAAAACAGAAUUACAAGUAAAUCAGUUUAACAUUCCCAUCUAUUUAUACCAAUCUAUACAAAGUAGAAAGUCUCAAAGCCAAUUCUAUUUAAUUUCUCCUGGAAAUCUAAACACAAUAUCCAUGAAUUUGGUUUUUUUUUUUUAUUUUUACACCCUGACACAUCAUUAAAGCCCAUGCUGCCUUACAGACUGUUCUUUGGCUGGUCUCCACAAAACUGGAAUGUAUUUUCACACAUAUCAAAGAAGUGUUAACUCUAACGCCCACCACUAACUUGCUAGCUUUUGCUGCUCUGUACACUUAAAAAAAUGCCAUUGGCCCUUUCAGGAACCCUAUGAAUAAUAUAAUUGAACUUGCUGGGAAGCCCCUCUAGACUGAAUGCCAGGGUAAUAAAAUUACAGAAGACACAUGCUAUUUCCACAAAAGCAUAUGUUUAUUCUGAAACCAAUGAUAUUUGAGGUUUUUUUUUUUAAAUUACUAGAAAAAAAAUCAAGUAUUUUACACCACUCGGCAUGGUUCCAAUCAGUAAAAUACUGUAAAUCCUUCAUGUGCUGCUUGUUGUUUUUAAAAAUGCUAAAUGAGUAAGUUGUUUAUCAAUAGCUGUAAUUAAACAUGUAAUAAUUGUGCAAGAACCAGACGUUGUGUUGACAAUAAUUGUGGUUUAAGUUUGCCAGCAUCCCUAUGGCCGAUUGGCUUUUACUGUCCAAUCGUGUAAUAGAAGGUGUACUGAUGGCCGCUCAGUGAGGACUGCUAGCUUGUUGAGUUUGUCCCAGGGAAUUGGAAUAGUUAAAUGAUUUGUUGCUGACACUCAGGAUUGCUUAAGCAGGUUGUAAUGAUAAAAUAUUUGCUAGUAGCUGCAUAUGAGGGGACAGCACUGUCUAUCUUACUGCUGCUUCCCUUUUUGUGUUUUUUUUUUUUUGCCCACUUCAAAGGUAGUGGUUACCGCCAUUAUGCUUUCUACGUGCAGCCUGGGUAUACUGCUUAUGCAGUGUUCUGCACAGAGGCGGAUGUACAGUAUGUUACUAGUGCACAGGAGUAUGUUGAAGGACAUUUUACUCUCCUUAACUACCCUGUAAGUGUACACUGUUUCACCAUUGCCUUCCAUCAUAUAAACGUUCUCUGGUUUGUGAGGAAGUCCUCAUUGUCGCUUCAGUCCAGAUCUUUUCAGUUGUAUCUUCUUCUGCUCACUCAUUAUACAAUUGAUAGCAGUAGUCCUUGUAGCUUUGUAAUUCCACUUAAUUUAUACUUUUAGCUUCUCUGUAGCAGAAAGAGUUCUGGCCCAGGAUGUGCUUUAUUUGUGUAUUAUUUGAGUACGUUCAUGUUUGUUUUGUUAUUUCACAGAGAUAUAGAUAACUGGGGUAUGGUUAUAUUAUUCUGAAAAGUUUUUUUUGAGAAUUCAGAACUUUUAUUAUUGCUAACGAAAUCCGUAGCUAAAAUUUCAGAUUAUUACAUAUGAGUAGAGAAUCAUAAUGCAUUGUAGUUAGUGAUGCUCAGAGGGUAAUGUAAGUGAAAUCCUUUACCAGUCCGGUCCUGACUCCUCUUUUCACUAAAUGACUAUGCACUAUAUGGCUAUAUAGCCUUGAGAGUUUCUUUUGAACACACACACAUAGCAAAGAAUUGCUUAGAAACGGGAAGGUCCUGUCUGGGAGGACUUCAGCUAUGACAUUGACAGUAACAAGAUCAAAUGCGUAAGUAAUGAUUUGGAGGCCAGAUUUGUGGAAAGCAUCACAUUUAAAAACAUGUUUAAUUUGCAUUCAAAAAGAAGUCUGGAGAGUUUGAGUGCAAUGACAUGCUGAAAAAACACAAACCUACUGAAAAAGGUAAAAUGACAGGUUACACUAGUCAACAGACUUUAAUGUUGCAGAAAGCUGCCAUCUGGUCUCCAUGGUUGAUCUAAUGCAAAAGGAGACAAAGAACACUGGCAAAGCAAUUUAUUAAAUGUCUUAUCCGUUUGUGUGAAUUAGCUACCUUCAUGGGGUACUGUAAAGUACUUUAUCAAAAGUUUAAAAUUCCCAGUACUACCAAAGUAAAUGGUCUGCUCCUUGAACAGAUGGACACUGCUAAAACAUGAGGAAGACUCACUUUAUAAAAUGCUCUGAUGAUAAUUCUCUGUAUACAGUAGAUGGAUUUAGUAAGAAGAGCCACACUGAGUCUUUUAUGGCUAUUUCUAUAGGUUUCUACAAUUCCAUUAAUAUGUAGGCACAGGGUGCAUUUCUUAAUCUUCACUGAAUUGCUAUUUUUAGGCAAAAAGAAAACAAAAAAAUUUUAAUAAUUAAGUUAAAAGCUAAAUUAGAAAUGGGUAAAAGUUCUUAGAAGUAAGCUGAAAUUAAAUUGAAAAUGAAAUGUCAGACAAAAACUAUUAGAAAUAAAAACUAAUUUUAAAAGCUGGAACUAAAAUAAACUUUGCACUACGUGUACUUGAUAUACUGCUGCACAAUGCAAGACCACUUUCUGUGCACCAGAAUGGAUGUUUUGUUUGCUUUCUUGUCUCGCUGCUUUGCUGCUGGUUUCCUUUCAAGCAUUGUUUAAAGUAUUUUUGGCUGUUAGGUACUAGUAAUGCUUUGACCUAGGUUAACUGUAGUAUUAACUUUGACCAAUAGUUUGGUAGCUAAUGUCAUGUGUUGUGGCUUAACACUAGUGGGCAUGCAGAUUAUACUGUAUGUGACAGUGUAUUUGGGUCUGUGCAACAGCAACUCUGUGUCACGGUUAAUAAAGAAACACUGUUGGCAGUUUUGAAUGUGAAGGCUGAACACCAUUCUCUAAAGAAAGCCAGACUCUUCACCGUUAAUGGGAAAGAGUAAACAAACAGCUUUUGUAAAGAGUUCUAAGGUCACAAUCUGUAAAGAGCAACAGGGUUUUAGGGUGCUAAUUACCUUUAGUAACUGAGACCAUCCCAAACCAGAUGCAGCUUUAUAUUCCCAAUCGUGGACAAAAUCAACAUCUGACUUUUAGUGGAGCUGAUUGUGAAAUGGAGGCACCUGGUCCCCUGUCUCUGGGUUGCUUCUCUUUGUUAAUUGCAAAUUUAUUUCUUUUGGCAGUCCGCCUUUCCUUGCGUUAAAGGUCUCCCAAUUGCAUUACAUAGGAUGGCACGUUUAAUUUCCUCCCUCCUCUUAUCUACCCACCACGCUUAUUGUCCCAGCAGAACAUAAUCACAAUCAUCACUUAAAUAAGGACCAAAAGUAUACAGUACAUCUCCAACAAUGACAGGUGUUGAUUAAAUACAGGGUACAGAGAAAUCCCCUAUGCAAUUUGUAAUGAGAAUUUGUGGAUCUAAAUUCAUACAAAAUAUAAAUGUUCAUUUAAAAAAAGAAAAUUAUUAAAGCAUGAACAAUGUGCGUUAGAAAUAAGAGACAUGGAUGUUUCACAGUUUUUGGCGCACAUCCUUGCCAGAGGGACCCAGAAAUAUUCUGUCUGCAGCUUAACACACCCAUCUCCAUUUCUAACCUGAACGAAACAGCACACUGUGUGGUCUUCAAUCUAGUUCCUUUGUAGUUUGCAUGGGAUGUGAAUGCUGUCUAAACGUGCCCAGAUCUAGAAAACUUGUUACUACUGCAUGAGCAUCGAAUCCGAUGUCAAAAAAUGUUAUAUUUUUUGUGACAAUUUGGUGAAAAUGAGCACCUUACAGUCUCUGGUUUUCAGUAGUGUGUUGAAUGAUUGUUCUCACUCUAUUUCUCUAUCUUUAUGGGGCUCUAAGCUUCUUAGCUGAUAGUAUGGGCUGAACAUCAUUGGAUUCUUGCUCGUCUUUUAUUUCGCAUGGCCUUGGUUUGAGUGUUUAUUUUAUUUAUUCAUUUAUUUAUUCAUUUCUUUAUUUUAGAAAUUCGGGCCUAGGCUGUGUAUAUUUACAUAUCUAUUUUUUCUUUUAAUUUCUAGUGGUUUGGCUUUUGAUAUUUUAAGUACUAUGCAUGCUAGGCUCAUACCCAGCUUUUAUCUCUGCA